AGAUCCCUCAAAGACGAUGAGGUAGAUAGGUUCGAGGUGGAAGCGUGGCGACACGUGCAGCUGACGAAUACUAAUCGAUCG
rnacentral:ncRNA from 1 species